rnacentral:tRNA from 1 species
CCAGACGUGGCCGACCGGCUGAGCGGUGGUCCAGCUCUCGGCGAGGCCGGGGGCGACCGGACGGAACCCGGCGACCGGGUCACACCCGAGCGCCCGGUC